rnacentral:rRNA from 1 species
GAUGAACGCUGGCGGCGUGCCUAAUACAUGCAAGUCGAGCGAACAGACGAGGAGCUUGCUCCUCUGACGUUAGCGGCGGACGGGUGAGUAACACGUGGAUAACCUACCUAUAAGACUGGGAUAACUUCGGGAAACCGGAGCUAAUACCGGAUAACAUGUUGAACCGCAUGGUUCAACAGUGAAAGACGGUUUUGCUGUCACUUAUAGAUGGAUCCGCGCCGCAUUAGCUAGUUGGUAAGGUAACGGCUUACCAAGGCAACGAUGCGUAGCCGACCUGAGAGGGUGAUCGGCCACACUGGAACUGAGACACGGUCCAGACUACUACGGGAGGCAGCAGUAGGGAAUCUUCCGCAAUGGGCGAAAGCCUGACGGAGCAACGCCGCGUGAGUGAAGAAGGUCUUCGGAUCGUAAAACUCUGUUAUUAGGGAAGAACAAAUGUGUAAGUAACUAUGCACGUCUUGACGGUACCUAAUCAGAAAGCCACGGCUAACUACGUG